UGCCAGCAGCCGCGGUAAUACGGAGGAUGCAGGCGUUAUCCGGAUUUAUUAGGUUUAAAGGGUGUUCAGGCUGUCUGAUAAGUCAGAGGUGAAAGUCGGUUGCUUAACGAUCGAAUUGCCUUUGAAACUGUUAGACUCGAGUAUGGAUGCGGUAGGCGGAAUGUGUAGUGUAGCGGUGAAAUGCAUAGAUAUUACACAGAACACCGAUUGCGAAGGCAGCUUACCAAACCAGCACUGACGCUGAAGCACGAAAGCGUGGGUAGCGAACAGGAUUAGAUACCCUGGUAGUCCACGCCGUAAACUUUGCUCACUCGCUGUUGGCGAUACACAGUCAGCGGCUAAGGGAAACCGAUAAGUGAGCCACCUGGGGAGUACGAUCGCAAGAUUGAAACUCAAAGGAAUUGACGGGGGCCCGCACAAGCGGUGGAACAUGUGGUUUAAUUCGAUGAUACGCGAGGAACCUUACCUGGGCUUAAAUGUAUAGUGCAUGAAUGUGAAAACAUUCUUUCCUUCGGGACUUUAUACAAGGUGCUGCAUGGUUGUCGUCAGCUCGUGCCGUGAGGUGUCGGGUUAAGUCCCAUAACGAGCGCAACCCCUAUUGUUAGUUACCAGCGCGUAAUGGCGGGGACUCUAGCGAAACUGCCGGUGUAAACCGCGAGGAAGGUGGGGAUGACGUCAAAUCAGCACGGCCCUUAUGUCCAGGGCUACACACGUGUUACAAUGGCCGGUACAGAGGGCAGCGGAGUAGUGAUACUUAGCGAAUCUCCAAAGCCGGUCCCAGUUCGGAUUGGAGUCUGCAACCCGACUCCAUGAAGGUGGAAUCGCUAGUAAUCGCGCAUCAGCCAUGGCGCGGUGAAUACGUUCCCGGGCCUUGUACACACCGCCCGUCAAGCCAUGGAAGUUUGGGGUGCCUGAAGGCCGUAACCGCAAGGAGCGGUCUAGGGUAAACAAAUGACUGGGGCUAAGUCGUNACAAG
rnacentral:rRNA from 1 species